rnacentral:rRNA from 1 species
UACGGAGGGUGCAAGCGUUAUCCGGAUUCACUGGGUUUAAAGGGCGCGCAGGCGGAUUGGUAAGUCAGUGGUGAAAGGCUUAAGCUUAACUUGGGAACUGCCAUUGAUACUAUCAGUCUUGAAUGUUGUUGAGGUUUGCGGAAUGGGUCAUGUAGCGGUGAAAUGCAUAGAUAUGACCCGGAACACCUAUUGCGAAGGCAGCAGGCUAAACAAAUAUUGACGCUGAGGCACGAAAGCGUGGGGAUCAAACAGG